rnacentral:rRNA from 1 species
AGUGAAAGACAAAUCGGACUAGGAUAUAGCUGGUUUUCUGCGAAAGUUGUUUUAGCAAAAUGUUUAUCAGUAAUAUUAGUAGGUAUAGCACUGAAUAUUUGUAAUUUUAAAGAGGGAGUAUUGCGUGUACUUAUCUCGGGUAUUUAAUCUCAGAAUGACUGAUAUUGAAAGAUAAAUGAUCGGACUACUUGCGAUAAGGUAGGUAGUCAAAAGGGGAACAGCCCAGAACAGAGGAUAAAGCUCCAAAAUUAAUUUUAAGUGAAAUUAAUGAAGUGAGAGAUCUGAGACAGUCAAGAAGUGGGCUUGGAAACAG